rnacentral:rRNA from 1 species
AUUGAACGCUGGCGGAAUGCUUUACAUAUGCAAGUCGAGCGGCAGCGCGGGGCAACCUGGCGGCGAGCGGCGAACGGGUGAGUAAUACAUCGGAACGUACCCAGUUGUGGGGGAUAGCCCGGCGAAAGCCGGAUUAAUACCGCAUACGACCUGAGGGUGAAAGGGGGGGAUCGCAAGACCUCUCGCAGUUGGAGCGGCCGAUGGCGGAUUAGCUAGUUGGUGAGGUAAAGGCUCACCAAGGCGACGAUCCGUAGCUGGUCUGAGAGGACGACCAGCCACACUGGAACUGAGACACGGUCCAGACUCCUACGGGAGGCAGCAGUGGGGAAUUUUGGACAAUGGGGGGCAACCCUGAUCCAGCCAUUCCGCGUGAGUGAAGAAGGCCUUCGGGUUG